ACAGUCUAGAUUGUCUUGAGUGCUUUCAAGUCCAAAGACUUCAUGAAAAUAGUUUCAUUUACUUACUGAUGUUAUUGGUUAACAUUUGGUUUCAGUCUUGUGUGAUUUUUAUUGGAAAAGCUGUUUCAUAUGAGAUGUUUGAUCCUUAGAUGAAUCAAGAAGAUAUCUCGAGGAUAUCUUGGAGAGAGGAACACCUGUACUAAUGAUGAGUUAUAAGCAAAUCAGCUCACCAGAAAAAUGUUGACCAUGACUGUGUCUCUCUAGAAGAGAAUUCUCCUUCUAAAGACAACCUGAAAUGUGACAGAUGCUGAUAAUUGGUGGUGGCGUUGCUGGGCUGACUGCAGCAGUAGCUGCCAAAGCAAUGGGAAUUGCUGUCAGAAGAUUUGAUGCCAGGGUGUGGUGAACACUGGUUACAAGGACUUGCCAAGAAGAAGGGCUACUCAAGCCAGUAGCCUUUUUCCAGCAACAUCUUGAAAUUAUUAAAGCUAUUUCUCCUGAGAGAGAAUAUUUUCACUUUGAACAAAAGGACGAUUUAGAUUAUAGGGCUAUUGAUUGUGUCAUUAGAGGAAUUUGAGUAAUAAAGGUAGCAUUAAUCCAAAGUACAGUCAUUCAAAACAUUUACAUAUUGGCAGACUGGAAUUACUUUUCAGCUAAGGAAGUGUUUGUAAAGAGAAGCAUAUUCAUCUAAGCUUUUAAGGAACACAGUCUAGGAUUUAGCUCAGCUGUGUGCUGUGCAGGAGAGAUGGCAAGACUGUUUACUCAGAACACUUCUGGACUGGGAAUACCCCUGGUAUGACUGAGGUGUCAAAGCUUCAGGAGCAAGCAGCAGUGGAAGCACAGAAAUCUUCAGCAGAAAUUCUGGGCAUGGCUCUGGGUGACACAAUGGGCAUGUGCACUUCUUGUAAGAUUGCAGGGGGUGACAGCUGUAGGUGGAGCAGCUAUGCCUGUUACUCAAAUACCAAGCAGUCACUCUGGCUGAGCCUUGUGUGCAGAAGGUUUUCUUGACAAUUGUGGGUGUCUUGAUUGGUUCCUCUGGAUGGAGCUAUCCUGUCAUGCAUUAUGUGUGCGGCUUGAUCUUUGCCAAAUGUCACUUCUGGGUGGAUAUGGCACAGCAUCUACAGCAGGAAGGAAACCUAUGGAAAUUGUUGCAACUUGCACUGAAGCUGGAUUAGACCAAGUUAUUGAAGAGAUAAAGGAGUCUGAUUCUAUCAUUACCCUGGAAUUCUUCAUUUCUUUCUCUGGACUAGAGCUGCUUUGCUUCACUGGACCCAGCUUUAAUGGAUGGGAGUCAAACUAGAUGGUUUUGUUCUAAGCAACUAUGCAGGAGAUAGCUCAUAAAGGAAGAUUUACAAGCUGAGUUUAGUACCAUGGGAUCUUGAAUUUACUGCUUCUAGAAGACUCAAUGUUUUCAUGAUGUCAAAUGUUUUCAGCUGACAAUCUUGAAGUGUUUGACUCACUGUUUAUCCUAUAAACUCAGAUUGGAAAAACAAUAUUAUGUAUCUGUGUUUCAUAAACAUCUGAAAUAGGUAUAUCUCCAUUGCUGGCAAUGAAGAUAAUCUGCUUGUGUUGAUAUAUUUGAUGCUGUAAGUUUGUUGCCAUUACAUUUGCAUUCACUUUAGGAACUUGGAAACAGCAGGGAAAUCAGACAUUUCUGUAUUUGACUGUUUUUAUUCCCUUCUGUGUUCAAAGUAGACCUAUGGUAGCCCUAGACCUGAAUGUUGCUCACCAUGUAACAGUACACUAAAUUCCUUUGGCUCAUGCCCCUCAGCCACUUGGAGGGCUGUUGCAGAAGAUAGAAAAAUGGUACAGCCAAGCAUUCUUCUCUGGUUGCCAGGCUCCUGGGAGGAAUAGCCAGCCCUGUAGUUGAAAGGUCAAGAGAAAUGGGAGCUCUAACAUGGUGCUGAUUUUAAUACAAACUCUAGGAGACCAAACAGAUGUACAGACAAUUAAGCUUGACUUUACUGAGCAAACUGCAAACAACUUUGAAAAAAAAAUUAAAAUUGGUAGGCAUAUAGGUAUGUUGGGCAGAGGGAUUAGUGCUGCUUGUGCAGAUAUUUCACAAGCCUAUUAAGAGUUCCUUGAAGGAUUCAAUGAGCACAAGGAAGACAAGGGAAAUCUAUUUGACACUGCUGGUGCUAAAGCUCUAACAUAAACCUUGUAUUUUUAUCAAUAGUGUUACUCUAGAAAUACACCUUUCAUAACCAGCAUGGCUAGGGGUUUUAGGAAUUAGAAGCAGUUUUUAGAGCUGUGUUCUACUAUCUUAAGUGGUGGAAUCUCUUGAACUACUAAAAUGUUACUUCAUAGUGCUAACAAUGGAUUGGGUGUAAGUGCAGUGCUUCUUACAUGCAGAGCCAUGGAACUGAGGUUCUGAUCAGAACAGAUACUGGAGGUUUGGCCUGUAAUUACAGUGAGCAGUGUUGAAAUGCUCAAUGUGGUAUAACAUAAUGCACGUCACCCUCAGAUCCCACACAUGUGCUCUAUUUAGUGACCUCACCACAGCCUUGCGUAACA